UUGUUCAGCUGCACUGGCCGAACAGACUUAGUGGGGUUACCUGGCUAAGAGCAGCAGCAGCAGCAGCAGCAGCAGCAGCAGCAGCAGCAGCAGCAGCAGCAGCAGCAGCAGCAGCAGCAGCAGCAGCAGCAGCAGCAGGGUUC
ensembl:miRNA